AGGGCGCAUGGUGAAUGCCUUGGCAUCAGGAGCCGAUGAAGGACGUGAUAAGCUGCGAUAAGCUUCGGGUAGGCGCACAUAGCCUGAGAUCCGAAGAUCUCCGAAUGAGGAAACUCACAUGGGAAACCCCAUGUAUCAUUAAGUGAAUACAUAGCUUAAUGAAGGUAACCCAGGGAACUGAAACAUCUAAGUACCUGGAGGAAGAGAAAGAAAAAUCGAUUUUCUUAGUAGCGGCGAGCGAAAGGGAAAGAGCCCAAACCGGAAACUUGUUUCCGGGGUUGUGGACAUAACAUAAAAGUGGAGGCUAUUGUAACUGAAGAGAACUGGAAAGUUCCACCGUAGAAGGUAAUAGUCCUGUAAGUGAAACGAGAAGACCACGAGUUAUGAUCCAGAGUACCACGAGACACGUGAAACCUUGUGGGAAGCAGGGAGGACCACCUCCCAAGGCUAAAUACUACCUGAUGACCGAUAGUGAAGCAGUACCGUGAGGGAAAGGUGAAAAGAACCCCGGGAGGGGAGUGAAAUAGAACCUGAAACCGUGUGCCUACAACCGCUCAGAGCCCCUUAUGAGGGUGAUGAGGUGCUUUUUGUAGAACGAGCCAACGAGUUACGGUAUGUAGCAAGGUUAAGUACUUAAGGUACGGAGCCGAAGGGAAACCGAGUCUGAAUAGGGCGACUAGUUGCAUGCCGUAGACCCGAAACCGGGUGACCUAUCCAUGGCCAGGUUGAAGCGAGGGUAAAACCUCGUGGAGGACCGAACCACGUUGCUGUUGAAAAAGCAUGGGAUGAGCUGUGGAUAGCGGAGAAAUUCCAAUCGAACCCGGAGAUAGCUGGUUCUCUCCGAAAUAGCUUUAGGGCUAGCGUCGAGUAUGAGUAGUGGAGGUAGAGCACUGAAUGGGCUAGGGGGCAUAGCGCUUACCGAACCUUAUCAAACUCCGAAUGCCACAUACUUUGAGCUCGGCAGUCAGACUACGAAUGAUAAGAUCCGUGGUCAAAAGGGAAACAGCCCAGAUCGUCAGCUAAGGUCCCAAAGUGUAAGUUAAGUGGGAAAGGAUGUGAGAUUUCUAAGACAACUAGGAUGUUGGCUUAGAAGCAGCCAUUCAUUAAAAGAGUGCGUAAUAGCUCACUAGUCGAGAGAUCUUGCGCCGAAAAUGUAACGGGGCUAAACUUACCACCGAAGCUACGGGCUUGAACUUAGUUCAAGCGGUAGGAGAGCGUCGUAACCGGGCUGAAGUCGUACCGUAAGGAGCGGUGGACUGGUUACGAGUGAGAAUGUUGGCAUCAGUAGCGAGAUGUGGGUGAGAAUCCCACAGGCCGAAAACCUAAGGUUUCCUCAGGAAGGUUCGUCCGCUGAGGGUUAGUCGGGACCUAAGCCGAGGCCGAAAGGCGUAGGUGAUGGACAACUGGUUGAUAUUCCAGUACCACUACCAUCGUUAUUAUCGAUGGCGUGACGCAGGAGGAUAGUGUGUGCUAGCUAUUGGAUGCUAGUCUAAGCGUUUAGGCAGUGAGAGUAGGCAAAUCCGCUCUCAUAAUGCUGAGGCGUGAUGGGGAAGGUUCUACGGAACCGAAGUACAUGAUUCCACGCUGCCAAGAAAAGCGUCUAGAGAGAGAAGUAGUGCCCGUACCGCAAACCGACACAGGUAGGUGAGGAGAGAAUCCUAAGGCCGGCGGAAGAAUUACAGUUAAGGAACUCGGCAAAUUGACCCCGUAAGUUCGCGAGAAGGGGUGCCUACGAGAGUAGGCCGCAGAGAAUAGGCCCAAGCAACUGUUUAGCAAAAACACAGGUCUCUGCUAAAGCGUAAGCUGAUGUAUAGGGGCUGACGCCUGCCCGGUGCUGGAAGGUUAAGGGGAACACUUAGCGCAAGCGAAGGUGUGAACUUAAGCCCCAGUAAACGGCGGCCGUAACUAUAACGGUCCUAAGGUAGCGAAAUUCCUUGUCAGGUAAGUUCUGACCCGCACGAAUGGCGUAAUGACUUGGGCACUGUCUCAACUGUAAAUCCGGCGAAGUUGUAGUGCGAGUGAAGAUGCUCGCUACCCGCGAUUGGACGGAAAGACCCCGUAGAGCUUUACUGUAGCUUAGCAUUGAGUUUUGGUAUUGUCUGUACAGGAUAGGUGGGAGACUAGGAAACCAGGGCGUCAGCCUUGGUGGAGUCAACCUUGGGAUACCACCCUGACAGUACUGAAAUUCUAACUGGCGGCCAUGAAUCUGGUCACAGGACAUUGUUAGGUGGGCAGUUUGACUGGGGCGGUCGCCUCCUAAAAAGUAACGGAGGCGCCCAAAGGUUCCCUCAGAACGGUCGGAAAUCGUUCGAAGAGUGCAAAGGCAGAAGGGAGCCUGACUGCGACACCCACAAGUGGAGCAGGGACGAAAGUCGGGCUUAGUGAUCCGGUGGUACCUCGUGGGAGGGCCAUCGCUCAACGGAUAAAAGCUACCUCGGGGAUAACAGGCUGAUCUCCCCCAAGAGUCCACAUCGACGGGGAGGUUUGGCACCUCGAUGUCGGCUCGUCGCAUCCUGGGGCUGUAGUCGGUCCCAAGGGUUGGGCUGUUCGCCCAUUAAAGCGGCACGCGAGCUGGGUUCAGAACGUCGUGAGACAGUUCGGUCCCUAUCCGUCGCGGGCGUAGGAAAUUUGAGAGGAGCUGUCCUUAGUACGAGAGGACCGGGAUGGACUGACCUCUGGUGUACCAGUUGUUCCGCCAGGAGCACAGCUGGGUAGCUAAGUCGGGAAUGGAUAAACGCUGAAAGCAUCUAAGCGUGAAGCCAACCUCAAGAUGAGAUUUCCCAUAGCGUAAGCUAGUAAGAUCCCUUGA
rnacentral:rRNA from 1 species